ACAGCAGUCGCCACGGGAAUACGUAGGGUGUAAGCGUUAAUCGGAAUUACUGGGCGUAAAGCGUGCGCAGGCGGUUCGUUAAGACAGAUGUGAAAUCCCCGGGCUUAACCUGGGAACUGCAUUUGUGACUGGCGGGCUAGAGUAUGGCAGAGGGGGGUAGAAUUCCACGUGUAGCAGUGAAAUGCGUAGAGAUGUGGAGGAAUACCGAUGGCGAAGGCAGCCCCCUGGGCCAAUACUGACGCUCAUGCACGAAAGCGUGGGGAGCAAACAGGAUUAGAUACCCCCGUAGUCCCUGUCUCUUAUAC
rnacentral:rRNA from 1 species